rnacentral:misc_RNA from 1 species
AAGUCGUAACAAGGUUUCCGUAGGUGAACCUGCGGAAGGAUCAUUAAUGAAAGUCUGGGUUCCGGCCCUCUCUCUCUCUUCUACGACACUUGUGAACUUACCAUGUUGCUUUGGCAGGUCUCUGUUUCAGACUUCAAGUCUGGAGCGGUUAGAUCGAGAGAUGCCUGCCAAGGACAUUCAAAACCACCCUUUUUUCCAAUCGUCUGAUUUUUGUUUAUACAAAAUAACAUAAAACUUUCAACAAUGGAUCUCUUGGCUCUG